AUGGUGCUGAAGGCCAAGAAGGAAUCGCCUAGCACAUGUCCUGCUCAUGCCCCUCUUAAAGCCGAAGCCAAAGCAAAGGCAUUGAAGGCCAAGAAAGCAGUGCUGAAAGGUGUCCACAGUCACACACAUACAAAAAGAAGAUCCUCACAUCAUCCACUUUCUGGAGGUCCAAGACUCUGCAGCUACGGAGGCAGCCCAAAUAUCCUCAGAAGAGCUCCCAGGAGAAACAAACUUGACCGCUAUGCCAUCAUCAAGUUUCCCUUGACCACUGAGUCUGCCAUGAAGAAAAUAGAAGACAACAACACACUUGUGUUCAUCGUAGAUGUUAAAGUCAACAAGCACCAGAUAAAACAGGCUGUGAAGAAGCUCUAUGACAUUGAUGUUGCCAAGGUCAACACCCUGAUUAGGCCUGAUGGAGAGAAGAAGGCAUAUGUUCGACUGGCUCCUGAUUAUGAUGCUUUGGAUGUUGCCAACAAAAUUGGAAUCUUUUAAACAGAGUCCAGCUGGAUAAUUCUAAAUAUAUAUCUUUUCACCAUAAAAAAAGAA